UACGUAGGGAGCGAGCGUUAUCCGGAAUUAUUGGGCGUAAAGGGUGCGUAGGCGGCCUUUUAAGUCAGCGGUGAAAGUCUGUGGCUCAACCAUAGAAUUGCCGUUGAAACUGGGGGGCUUGAGUAUGUUUGAGGCAGGCGGAAUGCGUGGUGUAGCGGUGAAAUGCAUAGAUAUCACGCAGAACUCCGAUUGCGAAGGCAGCAUACCGGCGCCCUACUGACGCUGAGGCACGAAAGCGUGGGUAUCGAACAGG
rnacentral:rRNA from 1 species